UAGCCCUGCAUUUUUAAAAAGACCACAAAUAAACCCUAAAAUUCUUGGAACUUGAAAAUAUGAUAUGGCAUCUCAUUUUACAAAGGCAAAUGUCACAGGUCUGAAAUAUUUAGUAACAAAACAAUAAGACUCGGAUGUUCAAAGAUAAUCUUUAUUCUUGUGAAAUGGAAGUUAUCCUGGCUCCCAAGCUCACCAUUUUCAUCAAGGACAGGCAUUUUUGAACUUGGGCUUGACUUAAAAAGAAUUCCCACUUACAGCUACACUAAUCCAAAAUCAUGAAGAAGAUGAAAAGAAUGUAGAUGACUUGUGGGGAAGUUUUAUUAAGAGAAGCAAAGAAAUACAGACCCCUAAGAACCUGCCCUGAACCUACAGCCUGUUAUACAGAGUGAAGUCUCUGACGGCACGAGAAAGAAAGAGCAAGAGGCCUCCAAGCCAAUAGAAGAAAGACUGACUCAACCCUAACAGCUGCUAAAAAUAGCAAAGCAGAGUUAUAAGCUUUCCUGUCCAAACAGAUGUAAAGCUGGCAGGUAGUCUGGGGCUAAUAGUGAAUGGAAUGGUCAGAGCCAUCUCAACCAGAGACCCUCACAAGGGGUUCUGAUCCUCGCUCAGCUAUGAGCAGAGCCAUCGCUGGCUUCCCACUUGGCAGGGCUGGGUGCAUGGAAAGCCAGAGGCACCAAGGAGGGGAGGACAGGUGAGAGACGGAGUUGCUCCAACCCACCCUGAACCCACUUCACUGAAGUGAGUUUUAAUAAAGCGAA
ensembl:lncRNA